GGGGAAUAUUGGACAAUGGGCGCAAGCCUGAUCCAGCCAUGCCGCGUGAGUGAAGAAGGCCUUAGGGUUGUAAAGCUCUUUCACCCGCGAAGAUGAUGACGGUAGCGGGAGAAGAAGCCCCGGCUAACUCCGUGCCAGCAGCCGCGGUAAUACGGAGGGGGCAAGCGUUGUUCGGAUUUACUGGGCGUAAAGGGCGCGUAGGCGGAUGUUCGCGUCAGAGGUGAAAGCCCCGGGCUCAACCUGGGAACUGCCUUUGAAACGGGACAUCUUGAGUUCGGAAGAGGGUAGCGGAAUUCCCAGUGUAGAGGUGAAAUUCGUAGAUAUUGGGAAGAACACCAGUAGCGAAGGCGGCUACCUGGUCCGACACUGACGCUGAGGCGCGAAAGCGUGGGGAGCAAAC
rnacentral:rRNA from 1 species